GACAGAGGGUGCAAACGUUGUUCGGAAUUACUGGGCGUAAAGCGCGUGUAGGCGGCUCGGUAAGUCGGAUGUGAAAGCCCUGGGCUUAACCUAGGAAGUGCAUUCGAAACUCCCGAGCUUGAGUUCUGGAGAGGAAGGCGGAAUUCUCGGUGUAGAGGUGAAAUUCGUAGAUAUCGAGAGGAACACCGGUGGCGAAGGCGGCCUUCUGGACAGUGACUGACGCUGAGGAGCGAAAGCGUGGGGAGCAAACAGG
rnacentral:rRNA from 1 species